rnacentral:rRNA from 1 species
AGGGCACCACCAGGAGUGGAGCCUGCGGCUUAAUUUGACUCAACACGGGAAAACUCACCCGGCCCGGACACUGGAAGGAUUGACAGAUUGAGAGCUCUUUCUUGAUUCAGUGGGUGGUGGUGCAUGGCCGUUCUUAGUUGGUGGAGUGAUUUGUCUGGUUAAUUCCGAUAACGAACGAGACUCUAGCCUACUAAAUAGAUCGUCGGCUUACAAACGCCGGCGAGACUUCUUAGAGGGACAGGCGGUGAUUCAACCGCACGAAACAGAGCAAUAACAGGUCUGUGAUGCCCUUAGAUGUCCGGGGCCGCACGCGCGCUACACUGAAGUGAUCAGCGUGCUUUUUCAACCUACUCUGUCAAGAGUGGGGAACCCAAUGAACCUUCUUCGUGAUUGGGAUAGGGGAUUGUAAUUGUUCCCCUUGAACGAGGAAUUCCCAGUAAGCGCGAGUCAUAAACUCGCGUUGAUUACGUCCCUGCCCUUUGUACACACCGCCCGUCGCUACUACCGAUUGAAUGUUUU